rnacentral:rRNA from 1 species
GACGAACGCUGGCAGCGUGCUUAACACAUGCAAGUCGAACGGAAAGGCCCUGCUUUUGUGGGGUGCUCGAGUGGCGAACGGGUGAGUAACACGUGAGUAACCUGCCCUUGACUUUGGGAUAACUUCAGGAAACUGGGGCUAAUACCGGAUAGGAGCUCCUGCUGCAUGGUGGGGGUUGGAAAGUUUCGGCGGUUGGGGAUGGACUCGCGGCUUAUCAGCUUGUUGGUGGGGUAGUGGCUUACCAAGGCUUUGACGGGUAGCCGGCCUGAGAGGGUGACCGGCCACAUUGGGACUGAGAUACGGCCCAGACUCCUACGGGAGGCAGCAGUGGGGAAUAUUGCACAAUGGGCGGAAGCCUGAUGCAGCAACGCCGCGUACGGGAUGACGGCCUUCGGGUUGUAAACCGCUUUCGCCUGUGACGAAGCGUGAGUGACGGUAAUGGGUAAAGAAGCACCGGCUAACUACGUG